rnacentral:rRNA from 1 species
UACGUAGGGUGCAAGCGUUAAUCGGAAUUACUGGGCGUAAAGCGUGCGCAGGCGGUUUGUAAGUUUGUCGUGAAAGCCCCGGGCUCAACCUGGGAAUUGCGAUGAAGACUGCAAGGCUUGAAUCUGGCAGAGGGGGGUAGAAUUCCACGUGUAGCAGUGAAAUGCGUAGAGAUGAUGGAGGAACACCGAUGGCGAAGGCAGCCCCUGGGUCAAGCAUUGCGCUCAUGCACGAAAGCGUGGGGAGCAAACAGGA